rnacentral:lncRNA from 1 species
CCGGAAUCUCACAAAAAUAAGAAACAAAGUCCUUUGAAUUUAGUAAUCGGGGGGCUAGUAUGAACCUUUGCAGGAACUGUUUUAAGGGUUGAGGGGGUAAAAGCUAGCUUACAGGGGGCAAUGGAGUGAAUGGGUGGAAGAGAUGCAGAGCCCUCCUUAGAAAAGAGGGCACCAGCAGAGAGGAAGAGGAUGAAAAGAGGAACGAUUUGAGAGCCGGGAUCCAUCCUCUGAGCCUGGCUGAAAGGAGACAAGUGGAUAUGACUGGAGAUGUCUGGAGGGAGGAGGGUGAGACACAGAAAAGACUCUCUUGUGAUGCCCUUUCCGAACCCGAAAAACUUGGAGAGAAUUUGAACGUGACCUUUGUGACUUAGCCACAUCUCACUUUAGCCGGAUGUCACCGUGCCCGUGGCCAGGUCUCUGUCUCGUUCAUUUUGGAAUCAUCCCCAGCCUGGAGCAGCUGACCAGGGA